rnacentral:rRNA from 1 species
AUGGCCGCGCCGUGCGGCCGCGGCGCGCUGCGGCUCGUGCUCAUCGCCGUCUCCGCGGCCUUCCUCACCUACAACGCGGUCCUCUCCUCCCGCUCCCUCCUGCCCCUCCCCACCGCCUCCUUCCCCGCCGCCACCACCGCCUCGUCAUCCCGCCGCCUCGCCUCCGGUGGCGCCAGCAGCGACGGCGGGCGGAGGCUGUUCCACACCGCGGUGACCGCGUCGGGGUCCGUGUACAACACGUGGCAGUGCCGCGUCAUGUACCACUGGUUCAAGGAGGCGCGGCGGCGGCCGGGCAGCGCCGACAUGGGCGGCUUCACCAGGAUCCUGCACUCCGGGAAGCCCGACGAAUUCGUCCACGAGAUCCCCACCUUCGUCGCCGACCCGCUCCCCGACGGGGCGGAUCAGGGAUACAUUGUUCUUAAUAGGCCCUGGGCGUUUGUUCAAUGGCUCCAGAAGGCAGACAUUCCGGAAGAAUAUAUCUUGAUGGCAGAGCCAGAUCAUCUUAUUGUCAAACCAAUCCCAAACUUAUCAAGAGAUGGCCGGGCAGCAGCUUUCCCUUUCUUCUAUAUCGAGCCCAAAAAAUAUGGAAAAGUGCUGCGUAAAUUCUUCCCCGAAAAGGAAGGGCCGAUCACUAACAUUGACCCCAUAGGAAAUUCUCCUGUCAUCAUUGAAAAGAUCGCACCGACAUGGAUGAACAUUUCGUUAGCAAUGAAGAAAGAUCCUGAAGCAGAUAAAGCUUUUGGCUGGGUUCUUGAAAUGUACGCGUAUGCUGUAUCAUCUGCUCUCUAUGGAGUGGGGAACAUCUUACACAAGGAUUUCAUGAUUCAGCCACCAUGGGACCUUGAAAUUGGUGAUUCAUUUAUUAUACAUUAUACUUAUGGGUGUGAUUAUGAUAUGAAGGGCAAAUUAACUUAUGGCAAAAUUGGAGAGUGGAGGUUUGACAAAAGAUCCUACGAGAAUAAACCUCCUCGUAGAAAUUUGCCAUUACCUCCGAAUGGUGUACCUCAAAGUGUGGUGACACUUGUGAAAAUGGUUAAUGAAGCAACGGCCAGCAUACCCAACUGGGAAUCUUACGCAGCCGAGUGA